CUCACGGGGAGCCCAUCGGGGGCUGAGAGGUGCGCUGCGCCGACCCGUUGAACCUGAUCCGGGUUAUGCCGGCGUAGGGAUUGAG
rnacentral:ncRNA from 1 species